GCCUGUAGCUCAUUGGUAGAGCAUCUGCCUUGCAUGCAGAUGGUCCCAGGUUCCAUCCCCGGCAUCUCCA